UACGUAGGGGGCAAGCGUUGUCCGGAUUCAUUGGGCGUAAAGAGCGUGUAGGCGGUCCGGUAAGUCAGCUGUGAAAGUCAAGGGCUCAACCCUUGAAUGCCGGUUGAUACUGUCGGGCUAGAGUCCGGAAGAGGCGAGUGGAAUUCCCGGUGUAGCGGUGAAAUGCGCAGAUAUCGGGAGGAACACCAAUGGCGAAGGCAGCUCGCUGGGACGGUACUGACGCUGAGACGCGAAAGCGUGGGGAGCAAACAGG
rnacentral:rRNA from 1 species